rnacentral:ncRNA from 1 species
CAAAAACCUAAGGGGUGGCUUCGGCCUGAGACUUCAUAUCUAACUAUAUGAUAAACCCUUGAACCUGAUCCGGUUAAUACCGGCGUAGGAAUAGGUGAUCUUACUACC